rnacentral:rRNA from 1 species
UACGUAGGGUGCGAGCGUUGUCCGGAAUUAUUGGGCGUAAAGGGCUCGUAGGCGGUUUGUCGCGUCGGGAGUGAAAAUCCAGGGCUUAACUCUGGACUGGCUUCCGAUACGGGCAGACUAGAGGUAUGCAGGGGAGAACGGAAUUCCUGGUGUAGCGGUGAAAUGCGCAGAUAUCAGGAGGAACACCGGUGGCGAAGGCGGUACUCUGGGCAUUACCUGACGCUGAGGAGCGAAAGUGUGGGGAGCGAACAGG